UACGAAGGGGACUAGCGUUGUUCGGAAUCACUGGGCGUAAAGCGCACGUAGGCGGAUAUGUCAGUCAGGGGUGAAAUCCCGGGGCUUAACCUCGGAACUGCCUUUGAUACAGCAUAUCUUGAGUCCGAUAGAGGUGGGUGGAAUUCCUAGUGUAGAGGUGAAAUUCGUAGAUAUUAGGAAGAACACCGGUGGCGAAGGCGGCCCACUGGAUCGGUACUGACGCUGAGGUGCAAAAGCGUGGGGAGCAAACAGG
rnacentral:rRNA from 1 species